GGUCAGAUGGCCGAGCGGUCUAAGGCGCCACGUUCAGGUCGUGGUCCGAAAGGGCGUGGGUUCGAAUCCCACUCUGAUCA
rnacentral:tRNA from 4 species